GAGAGAGUGAAACAUCUGCGCUCUGAAUAUGUGGAGAGAGUCUUGCAAAUGGAUGCAGAACAAAUUCAGCAUGAAUUUAUAUAUGUGGAUGAGGCUGGAUUUAACCUUGCAAAAACACGAAGACGAGGGAGAAAUGUAAUUGGACACAGGGCAAUCACCAAUGUGCCAGGGCAGCGAGGGGGUAACAUCACCCUCUGCGCUGCUAUCACACAAAAUGGGGUCCUCCACCACCAUGCAAAUCUGGGACCCUAUAAUGCAAAUCUAAUACUUGCAUUUCUUGACAUAUUGCACGAGAUUGUCACAGCAUUAAACAAAGUGGACCAGAUGCGGUACAUUGUCGUUUGGGACAAUGUCUCAUUCCAUCGGGCUGCUCUGGUCCAGAAUUGGUUCCAUGGUCACCCUGAUUUUGAAGUGUUAUACCUUCCCCCAUACUCCCCCUUCCUGAAUCCAAUCGAAGAGUUUUUUUCAGCGUGGCGGUGGAAGGUAUACGACCUGCGGCCCUAUGACCGUUUGCCCCUCAUUCAGGCCAUGGAGCAGGCAUGUGAUCAAAUCGACGCAGCUUCUGUGCAGGGGUGGAUUCGUCACUCAAGGCGAUUCUUCCAACGGUGCCUUGCCAAUGAAGACAUAGCCUGUGAUGUGGAUGAAAUCUUAUGGCCUGAUCCAGCCAGACGGAGAGAUGAGGAAUAGUUACAGUAUUUGUGUUGCUUUUUUUUCCAGAGUCAAACUGUAUGUACUUCAGGCAGUAAUUUUUAUUUGUCUACAGAUUUUAUUUGUUUCAUUGAUUUCAUUGUUGGUUGAUUACUGUAACUGAUUAUGGUAAGAAAUACUGUAUUUCUUGAAUUGAAAUAAAUACCGGUACUUGAAAUAUUCAGUCUGCAGCAUCAGUGUUGUGCAGUGCUUGGUAAGUUUAUAGUAGGCCUAUUUGUGUACAUUCUCCCUAUAUCUCAAACUAAUCAUGAAGAAUGUUGUGGGUUUGUCACUAUUUUUUGUCAUCGAAAUGAUCCCUUACAUAA